GAGCAACUCAACGAGAUAGUUCCAGCAUGCAGAAGUGCCCGGGGAGGCAUUGGGAAACAACUCGGAACAAUCUGCAGCGCCACAGGCUCCACGGGCUUUUGCUGUAAGACGCGUGCCAUCGCUGAAACGACACCAGGAGCCCCUCAGAGGUCGAGCGUGGAUUGGGGUCUCCGUGGGCCACCGAGACGGGUG